rnacentral:rRNA from 1 species
UUCCGGUUGAUCCUGCCGGACCUCACUGCUAUCGGGGUGGGACUAAGCCAUGCUAGUCGAGCGCCUUGAGCUAUGUCGAGGCGCGGCGUACAGUUGAGUAACACGUAGUUAACCUGCCCUCGGGACGGGGACAACCCCGGGAAACUGGGGCUAAUCCCCGAUGGGUGAGGAGGCCUGGAAUGGUUCUUCACCGAAAGGGUGUUGAAGCAUGCUUUCAACCUUGCCUGAGGAUGGGACUACGUCCGAUCAGGUUGUUGGUGAGGUAACGGCUCACCAAGCCUUGACCGGUACGGGCCGUGAGAGCGGGAGCCCGGAGAUGGAAUCUGAGACAAAAUUCCAGGCCCUACGGGGCGCAGCAGGCGCGAAACCUCCACAAUGCACGAAAGUGUGAUGGGGCUACCCCGAGUGCCGUCCGCUGAGGACGGCUUUUCUCCAGUGUAAUGAGCUGGAGGCAAUAAAGGGAGGGCAAGGAUGGUGUCAGCCGCCGCGGUAAAACCAACUCCCUGAGUGGUGGGGACGAUUAUUGGGCUUAAAGCGUUCGUAGCCGGCCUGGUUAGUCCCGCGUUAAAUCCAGCGACCUAAUCGUUGGGCUGCGGGGGAUACGGUCAGGCUUGGGAGCGGGAGAGGUUGGCGGUACUCCAGGGGUAGGGGUGAAAUCCAGUAAUCCCUGGUGGACCACCAGUGGCGAAGGCUGCUAACCCGAACGCGUCCGACGGUGAUGGACGAAAGCUGGGGUAGCGAACCGGAUUAGAUACCCGGGUAGUCCCAGCCGUAAACGAUGCGGGCUAGCUGUUGGGAUGGCUACGAGCCAUCUCAGUGGCGCAGGGAAACCGUUAAGCCCGCCGCCUGGGAAGUAUGAUCGCAAGAUUGAAACUUAAAGGAAUUGGCGGGGG